CGUAUUUUUUGAAAAGGAAUCUUAAGCUCAGCCCUCUUAUUUUUAAGUCUGGCCCAAUUGAGGAUCCCUUCGUAAGACGGCUACCUCAGAAGCUUAUUUCUAGUUUCCUCCACUUAUUUGUUUGCGAUAAACCUUCGUCGUCGUCGUCGUCGUCGGCUGCUGGCUGCUUCUACAUUUUCAUCACCAUCAUCUGCUGAUGGCUCCUCAUCAGCUCAUGAAAUCCAAGUGGACUUCCCUUACAAUCUACUCUUUCAGUUUCACAGAAGAUCCAGAUUAGAUUUUAAGGCAAACAAAUUGAUAGAGCAGAUUGUAAGGGAAGCCCACAUGGAUUUCAACCCAAUUUUGUUUGGUCCUCAUCACGAGCGCGAAUGGAUUUGUGGGUUAGCUUCUGCCUCUACCUUAUCGUAUCAAAAUCCUGUAUUUUUGAAAAAUGAUGACUUGUUGGUUUAAAUUGGUGGAGAGGAGAUUGUGGGAGCUUUUAAGCAAUUUCCACUUGGAUUGGCAUGCUUUAGAAGACCAUAAUUAUCAAUCCCAAGUUUCUUAUGUAUUCAACUGCUAAAAGGCUUUGUCCUAAGUAUGAUGUUUUGGCUUCCAAGAAGCUGAUUGAGGAGGCCAGGAGAAUUGGGUGGUUGCUAACAAUCAGCAAGAAGAAAUUCUUGGUGAAUUAUGUGAAUAAAUACGCAGCGAAAGUACCAGGUUUAUUGCA